rnacentral:RNase_P_RNA from 1 species
UCUGCAAGCCAGACGGCCGCGGGGACAACCAAACCGGUGUCAAGGAUUCGUCCGAGGCGCUGGCGGCGGGGGUCUUCGAGGAAAGUCCGGACACCAGAGAGCAAUGAUGGUCGGGGGUCAAACCCUGACGCGGCGAAAGCCGACGGAAAGUGCCACAGAAAAUAACCGCCUAAGUCGUGCGGAACCAGCUUCGGUUGGAACCGCCUUCUCCGGAUCGGAAGGGCCGCAAGGUCCGGAAGUGAACGAAAGGGUAUGCACGGACGGUAAGGGUGAAACGGUGCGGUAAGAGCGCACCAGCGUUGCGGUGACGUAGCGGCUAGGUAAACCCCAUCAGGUGCAAGAGCAAACAGGAUCGUUGAGGCUGCUCGCGGAGAUCCAGGUAGCUCGCAGGAGGUAGAACCAAGACAUAGGAGUUCGGAAGGCUUCGGCCCAUGUGCUCCACCGCUUCUUCGGAAGUGUUGGCUUCGGUGAAGCCCCCGCCUUACAGGGCGCAAGCCUGAGUAGGGCAGAGAUAGAUGGCCGUUCAACGACAGAAUCCGGCUUAUCGGCUUGCUAAGGGA